rnacentral:rRNA from 1 species
AACGAACGCUGGCGGCGUGCCUAACACAUGCAAGUCGAACGAGAAAGCGGGCUUCGGCCCGUGAGUAAAGUGGCAGACGGGUGAGUAACACGUGGGUAACCUGCCCGGAGGUGGGGGAUAACCCUUCGAAAGGAGGACUAAUACCGCAUAACAUCUCGAGAGCUUCGGAACUCGAGAUCAAAGCUAGCCUCUACGCGUAAGCUAGCGCCACCGGAGGGGCCCGCGCCCCAUUAGCUUGUUGGUGAGGUAACGGCUCACCAAGGCGACGAUGGGUAGCCGGCCUGAGAGGGUGAUCGGCCACACUGGAACUGAGACACGGUCCAGACUCCUACGGGAGGCAGCAGUGAGGAAUUUUGCGCAAUGGGCGAAAGCCUGACGCAGCGACGCCGCGUGGAGGACGAAGGCCUUCGGGUCGUAAACUCCUGUCGAGCGGGACGAAUCCCGGGGGGAUGAAUAAGCCUUCCGGUUGACAGUACCGCUGGAGGAAGCCCCGGCUAACUCCGUG